UUCUACAGUAACCAGACUCCAUCGAAAUUUCUACGGUGGUCGACCACCUUUCAAAUUUCAUCUGAGCUCCUACAAGAGCCGGAUCUCUACUCCAAAUUUUUAUUGCAAGCGAACUUCAUCCGAGCUCCUACAAGAGUCAGACUCCACCCGAACCACUAUAGUAGAUGGACCACAGAUGAACUCCUACAAUGGAUAGGCUCCACC
rnacentral:lncRNA from 1 species